rnacentral:rRNA from 1 species
AUUGAACGCUGGCGGCAGGCUUAACACAUGCAAGUCGAGCGGGGGAGGUUGCUUCGGUAACUGACCUAGCGGCGGACGGGUGAGUAAUGCUUAGGAAUCUGCCUAUUAGUGGGGGACAACAUUCCGAAAGGGAUUCUAAUACCGCAUACGCCCUACGGGGGAAAGCAGGGGAUCUUCGGACCUUGCGCUAAUAGAUGAGCCUAAGUCGGAGUAGCUAGUCGGUGGGGUAAAGGCCGACCAAGGCGACGAUCUGUAGAGGCUCUGAGAGGAUGCUCCGCCACGCUGGGACUGAGACACGGCCCAGAGUCCUGCGGGAGGCAGCAGUGGGGAAUAUUGGACAAUGGGCGGAAGCCUGAUCCAGCCAUGCCGCGUGUGUGAAGAGGGCCUUUUGGUUGUAAAGCACUUUAAGCGAGGAGGAGGCUCUUAAGGUUAAUACCCUUGAUGAGUGGACGUUACUCGCAGAAUAAGCACCGGCUAACUCUGUGCCAGCCGCCGCAGUAAAAC